AUGGCCAACGCUCAUGUCAACAUGAACUUCAACGCGUUCCUAGAGAAAACCAAGCUGAAAGAUGAUGGCAUCAACUAUACGAACUGGGUCCGGAACCUGAGGAUCAUCCUCAUAGCUGACAGGAAACAAUAUGUCCUAGAAGGACCGCUAGGUGACGCUCCCGUCCCAGAGAACCAAGACAUUAUGAAUGCUUGGCAAACUCGCGCUGAUGAUUACUCCCUCGUUCAGUGCGGCAUGCUUUACAGCUUAGAACCGGGGCUCCAAAAGCGUUUUGAGCAUCACGGAGCAUAUGAGAUGUUCGAAGAGCUGAAACUAGUUUUCCAAGCUCAUGCCCGGGUCGAGAGAUAUGAUGUCUCCGACAAGUUCUACAGUUGUAAGAUGGAGAAAAACAGUUCUGUCAGUGAGCACAUCCUGAAGAUGUCUGGGUUGCACAACCGUAUGACCCAGCUGAACAUUAACCUCCCAGAUGAGGCGGUCAUUGACAGAAUCCUCCAGUCGCUCCCACCAAGCUACAAGAGCUUUGUGAUGAACUACAACAUGCAGGGGAUGGAAAAGACCAUUCCUGAAGUGUUCUCGAUGCUGAAGUCAGCAGAGGCUGAAAUCAAGAAAGAACAUCAAGUGUUGAUGGUCAAUAAGACCACUAAGUUCAAGAAGGGCAAGGGUAAGAAGAACUUCAAGAAGGACGGCAAGGAGGUUGCCGCGCCUGGUAAGCCAGUUAUCGGGAAGAAGUCAAAGAAUGGACCUAAGCCUGAGACUGAGUGCUUUUAUUGCAAGGGGAAGGGUCACUGGAAGCGGAACUGCCCCAAAUACUUAGCAGAUAAGAAGGCCGGCAAAACCAAAGGUAUAUUUGAUAUACAUGUAAUUGAUGUGUACCUUACAAGUACUCGUAGUAACUCCUGGGUAUUUGAUACCGAUGCCGUUGCUCAUAUUUGUAACUCACAGCAGGAGCUGCGGAAUAAACGGAGACUGGCGAAGGACGAGGUGACGAUGCGCGUCGGGAAUGGUUCCAGAGUCGAUGUGAUCGCCGUCGGCACGCUGCCUCUACAUUUACCUACGGGAUUAGUUUUGAACCUUAAUAAUUGUUAUUUAGUGCCAAGUUUGAGCAUGAACAUUGUAUCUGGAUCUCGUUUAAUACGAGAUGGCUACUCAUUUAAGUCUGAGAAUAAUGGUUGUUCGAUUUAUAUGAGAGAUAUGUUUUAUGGUCAUGCUCCAAUGGUCAAUGGUUUAUUCUUAAUGAAUCUCGAGCGUAAUAUUACACAUGUUCAUAGUGUAGAUGCCAAAAGAUGUAAAGUUGAUAACGAUAGUCCCACAUACUUGUGGCACUGCCGCCUUGGUCACAUUGGUGUCAAGCGCAUGAAGAAGCUCCAUGCCGAUGGACUUUUAGAGUCUCUUGAUUAUGAAUCGUUUGACACGUGCGAACCAUGCCUCAUGGGCAAGAUGACCAAGACUCCGUUCUCCGGAACAAUGGAGCGAGCAACCAACUUAUUGGAAAUCAUACAUACCGAUGUGUGCGGUCCAAUGAGCGUUGAGGCUCGCGGAGGAUAUCGUUAUGUUCUCACUCUCACUGAUGACUUAAGUAGAUAUGGGUAUGUCUACUUAAUGAAACACAAGUCUGAGACCUUUGAAAAGUUCAAGGAAUUUCAGAAUGAGGUGGAGAAUCAACGUGACCGAAAGAUAAAGUGCCUACGAUCAGAUCGUGGAGGAGAAUAUUUAAGUCACGAAUUUGGCACACACUUAAGGAAAUUUGGAAUCGUUUCACAACUCACGCCGCCUGGAACACCUCAGCGAAACGGUGUGUCCGAACGUCGUAAUCGCACUCUAUUGGAUAUGGUGCGGUCUAUGAUGUCUCUUACUGAUUUACCGCUAUCAUUUUGGGGAUACGCUCUAGAGACAGCUACAUUCACUUUAAAUAGGGCACCGUCUAAAUCCGUUGAGACGACACCGUAUGAAUUAUGGUUUGGGAAGAAACCUAAGCUGUCGUUUCUAAAAGUUUGGGGAUGCGAUGCUUAUGUCAAGAAACUUCAACCUGAAAAGCUCGAACCCAAGUCGGAAAAAUGCGUCUUCAUAGGAUACCCUAAGGAAACUGUCGGGUAUACCUUCUACUUAAGAUCCGAGGGCAAAAUCUUUGUUGCCAAGAACAGAUGCUUUCUGGAAAAAGAGUUUCUCUCGAAAGAAGUAAGUGGGAGAAAAGUAGAACUCGAUGAAGUACUACCUCUCGAACGGGAAAGUGGUGCAGCUCAGGAAAAUGUUCCUGUGAUGCCCACACCAACUGAAGAGGAAACCAAUGAUGAUGAUCAAGGUACUUCGGAUCAAGUUGCUACUGAACUUCAUAGGUCCACAAGGACACGUUCCGCACCAUAG
rnacentral:rRNA from 1 species